rnacentral:rRNA from 1 species
GACGAACGCUGGCGGCGUGCUUAACACAUGCAAGUCGAACGAAGUGGCGAACGGGUGAGUAAUACGUGGGUAACCUGCCCUCCUUUUUGGGAUAAGCCUUGGAAACGGGGUCUAAUACCGAAUAAAGGGGGAUGGGCUCGCGGCCUAUCAGCUUGUUGGUGGGGUGAGGGCCUACCAAGGCGGUGACGGGUAGCCGGCCUGAGAGGGUGAACGGGCACGUUGGGACGGAGCAACGGCCCAGAGUGCUACGGGGGGGAGCAGUGGGGGCUAUUGCACAAUGGGCGAAGGACUGAUGCAGCGACGGCGCGUGGGGGAUGAGGGCUUUAGGGUUGUAAACCUCGUGCGCAAGCGAACGGGUAGGUGGAGAAGAAGCGCCGGCUAACUACGUGCCAGCAGCCGCGGUAAUUC